AACAACAGGGAUUUAAUAAAAAGAUUGAUCGACGGGUGCGUUUUGCCCGUGGUCGUCCACAAGAUCGUCCAUGCCGAUCCUGAACAGCGGGUUUGGGACUCUCUGGGGUCCUUUCUUGAGGUAGGCCGAUUCACUUUUUUUUCUCUUUCGCUUCUUCACUUAGUUCAUUUCUUAGCCUUCAUACUGACUUCCCAACCACUCUUGU
rnacentral:lncRNA from 1 species